GCAUACACAUGGAGAUGGACUCAUCCUCCAGCUACUUUGGAUACCGUGGCUCCCAUUUUUCUACUUUCUCUGAAGGAUUGAAGCCACCUUGCCCAGAAGUCACUGGGAGUUAUGCCUCCUCCCUAAGGAUGGCCCACAGCCAGUGCCUCAUUGGAGCAAGAGGUACAGAAGCCCUGCUCCCUCAUCUGAAGAUGGGGCAGGCUCCGCAGUGCAAUCCAUGCACCCGAGCUCCCAUGGCAUCAGACUGACAUUGCUGGAAGCCACAGUCUUCCUCAGCUUCUCCUUCCCUGUCCUGCUUCCCUCACUCCCUUAUGGUUUUCUCCUGAGGGCACUCCCUUAAUAAAUC
rnacentral:lncRNA from 1 species